GACGAACGCUGGCGGCGUGCUUAACACAUGCAAGUCGAACGGAAAGGCCCUGCUUUUGUGGGGUGCUCGAGUGGCGAACGGGUGAGUAACACGUGAGUAACCUGCCCUUGACUUUGGGAUAACUUCAGGAAACUGGGGCUAAUACCGGAUAGGAGCUCCUGCUGCAUGGUGGGGGUUGGAAAGUUUCGGCGGUUGGGGAUGGACUCGCGGCUUAUCAGCUUGUUGGUGGGGUAGUGGCUUACCAAGGCUUUGACGGGUAGCCGGCCUGAGAGGGUGACCGGCCACAUUGGGACUGAGAUACGGCCCAGACUCCUACGGGAGGCAGCAGUGUGGAAUAUUGCACAAUGGGCGGAAGCCUGAUGCAGCAACGCCGCGUGCGGGAUGACGGCCUUCGGGUUGUAAACCGCUUUCGCCUGUGACGAAGCUUGAGUGACGGUAAUGGGUAAAGAAGCUCCGGCUAACUACGUG
rnacentral:rRNA from 1 species